UACAGAGGUCCCGAGCGUUGUUCGGAUUCACUGGGCGUAAAGGGUGCGUAGGUGGUGGGGUAAGUCUCGUGUGAAAGCUCGCAGCUUAACUGCGAAAAGUCACGGGAUACUAUCCGGCUAGAGGCUUGGAGGGGGGACUGGAAUACUUGGUGUAGCAGUGAAAUGCGUAGAUAUCAAGUGGAACACCAGUGGCGAAGGCGAGUCCCUGGACAAGACCUGACACUGAGGCACGAAAGCUAGGGGGAGCAAACAGG
rnacentral:rRNA from 1 species